rnacentral:rRNA from 1 species
AUUGAACGCUGGCGGCAGGCCUAACACAUGCAAGUCGAGCGGAUGACGGGAGCUUGCUCCUUGAUUCAGCGGCGGACGGGUGAGUAAUGCCUAGGAAUCUGCCUGGUAGUGGGGGGCAACGUUUCGAAAGGAACGCUAAUACCGCAUACGUCCUACGGGAGAAAGCAGGGGACCUUCGGGCCUUGCGCUAUCAGAUGAGCCUAGGUCGGAUUAGCUUGUUGGUGAGGUAAUGGCUCACCAAGGCGACGAUCCGUAACUGGUCUGAGAGGAUGAUCAGUCACACUGGAACUGAGACACGGUCCAGACUCCUACGGGAGGCAGCAGUGGGGAAUAUUGGACAAUGGGCGAAAGCCUGAUCCAGCCAUGCCGCGUGUGUGAAGAAGGUCUUCGGAUUGUAAAGCACUUUAAGUUGGGAGGAAGGGUUGUAGAUUAAUACUCUGCAAUUUUGACGUUACCGACAGAAUAAGCACCGGCUAACUCUGUGCCAGCAGCCGCAGUAACAC